GUUCACUAUCUUCCCAGCAGGGUGUGACAGCCAGUUCAGCUCCUGAACCCCACAAUUGUUCAAUAGCCUUUUGGAGCCUGACCUGUUUCCGAAGACAGAAUCUGGACGACGAGGACAUUUUCUUCCGGCAUUCACAUGAGAGAGGCACCAGCAUUUUGUCUGGUUUAAGCAGGCGAGCUCUUCAAACCCAGGCCACGGGCAAGUAUGAAGCCUGAACACAGAAUGAUACCCACAAGACAGUGGACCAGGAUGCUGUGUCCUACCACACUAGGUCUACAGCCAAGAAGAAGAGGAUGUCUCUGAGGAGGAUGAGCACACCAUCCUUCCAGAAGCCUUCUCCCCAGGCCCUGGGGAACAUUGUGGGCUGCAGAAUUUCUCACGGAUGGAAGGAAGGUGAUGAGCUCGUCACCCA
ensembl:lncRNA